UUACGACCCCUGAACGUGAAAGAAAAAGCAAGGAUGAAAAAAAUGAAUAUUAAAAUGGAUAUGAUUUUAUUCAGUCACCUAAAAAAAAGGCGGAACAAGCGGCAACAAAAUCAUUGACCGCAGCAACAGAAACUGCAGUAGCAGCAAGUGAUGCAUCAGCAAGAACAGCAACAGCUGGAAAAAGAACAAUCGCUGCAGCAGCAAGAAUCAAAGCAGCGGGUGGAUCAAAAGUAGCAGCAGCAGAAGUGAGGGCCGCAGCAGAGGAACUGCGAGCAGCAGCAGCAAGAGCGAGGGCAGCGGCUACAAGAGCAAGAGUAGUGGCUG
rnacentral:misc_RNA from 1 species